rnacentral:rRNA from 1 species
GACGAACGCUGGCGGCGUGCCUAAUACAUGCAAGUAGAACGCAGUUGCGAACGGGUGAGUAACGCGUAGGUAACUGCCUGGUAGCGGGGGAUAACUAUUGGAAACGAUAGCUAAUACCGCAUACUACCAGAUGGACCUGCGUUGUAUUAGCUAGUUGGUGAGGUAACGGCUCACCAAGGCAACGAUACAUAGCCGAACCGGGGAGGGGGUGGGCCAACACUGGAACGGGACACGGGCCAGACUCCUACCGGAGGCAACAGUAGGGAAUCUUCGGCAAAUGGGGGAACCCUGACCGAGCAACGCCGCGUGAGUGAAGAAGGUUUUCGGAUCGUAAAGCUCUGUUGUUAAGGAAGCGGUACUUAACCAGAAAGGGACGGCUAACUACGUGCCAGCAGCCGCGGUAAUAC